AUGAUUAACGAAGGAAAAUUGCCUGAGGUGCAACAGUCUUCAGGUUCUCAUGGCUAUCGCACCAAAGUAUUUGGUUCUGGGACCAAACUCAUUGUAACAGAAACAGAAGCAAAACUCGAUUCCAAAAAAGUCCAGGUCCUGCCUCCUUUUACUGAAAAAGAUGGGAAAGUAACACACGUAUGCCUCAUUGAGGAUUUUUACCCAAAUGUUAUUAAAGUGACUUGGGACGUCGACAAGGAGAACGCAGAGAAAAAUGCAGUGCUUGGGGAAAUUUGGCCCCCUGAUGACAAUCGACAAUCAUACUCAAUAAGCAGCUGGCUGACCGUAGAUAAAAAUAGCAACAAGAAUUAUCACUGCAACUAUCAACAUGAAAAAGAUACUGGUUCUGUCGCUAUCAAAUCUCCAGGCACCUCCAUAGAGCCUCAAAGCACAGCAGACUGUACCAACAGACUUUUCAUAGAGCGGUUCAUGCACAGGACGGCAUAUUUAAUAUACAUUGUCCUUCUCCUGAAAAGCACCAUGUACUAUGUCAUCAUACUCUUCUUCAUGUACAGGAUGCAAAGUCCAAUCAAGCGCCAGGGAAAGAAACCUUAAACUUCUCCUUGCACCUUCCAAACUCAGCAUUUUUGUCUGAAAUUUACUUUGCUUUGCCCUAAGCCAGUUCAUAUGAAACCCCUGGCUCUAAAUAUCAAGAUGUGCAUUUCAAUUUGAUUUUGUUGGUUUAUUCUCUAGUUAGCACAGAUGGCUUCUUCUGCUUGAGAGUGAACAGUUUGACAUGUGUUCAUUUUUUCUAUUUUAUUCUUUUAAUUUUGUAACUGUAGAACUUAAAGGACUCCUUGAUUUCAAUGGGAAUUUUGCAUCACAAAUCAGUGCAGGAUCAGUCUCUUAGGCUCUUGUCCUGCAAAAACACUUGUGCACACAAGCAACUUUUUGGAUGUGGAUAGGCCAGCUGCAUUCAGUGAAGUCAAUGGAAAAAACUCACCGCUAUAAUCAUUAGCAGGCGUGGAGUCCUAAUCUGUCAUUUUAAAUCAUUUGUCAUUUCAUUUCUAUUAAUUUCAUUUAUUUCCUUUAUAAAACAAAAACAGGCUUUGAAAUAUGAGUAAUUGUUUUUUAAAAAUUGAAGAUUAAUGUAUUUUAAAUAAAAUUCAGCAUUACAAAAUAUUCUGUCCAGUUUAUUUAUUUAAAGGAAAUCUAAACACUUUUUAAAAAGAUUUUUCAAGACAGACAUACACAAGUCUGGAAGACAAUGGUAAAGCUCAACACCUACACUUGCCUCAUACAUGGCAAACUUCCAUAUUAUAUCUUUUAACAACAUACAAGUUAUAAUGAAUGAAAUACAAUCUUAACUAGAUAUACCCUCUUCAGUAUAUGCCUAAAGAAUUUCAAAAAGUGAAAUACUCUCUUCAAUGCAUACUGUAAGUUCAAACAGUUCAUUUUAAACCAAUAAAUAAAGGUAAGAGUUCUCGGGUAUCACUCUGAACUCCUCUCCAAACUUUGCACGUCCUUAUUUUGAUAAAAUCAUUAAUAUUAAUCUGUUCUAAAAUUUUUGUCCAAGUCUGGGCAAAUUAUUGGCAUAAGUACAAGCACAUUGGACCCUGAAUGUUUGCAGUAUCCAUAUAGGAAAAAUCAUAUUAACUGUAUUUUACAUAUAUACACAAUUAGCAGUAUAUCUUUUACUUCAAUAAUUUGUACAGCUAUGUGCUUAGUAUUCCCACAUCCUGUAUAAAGAUUAGACGGGCUCUGCAUACUUAUAUUUACUUCUCAAGAGGUUAAAAUUCUUUAAAGCAAACAAUUGUGUUAUUUCCUGAAUCAUACAUAGGAUGCGUUUUCCAUUAUUUAACCAACAAAACAAUUUAUAAAAUAAUUUCCUAUGGAACAGGGAAGUGGGAAACACAUACUGUAACUAAAAUCAUUCUGUUUUCAAAGGAUGACACAUUUUCAGGAAAACAAAGUAUUUUGUACCAAAUUCUGCCAUUCCCACUCAUUUUAGAGUAAUUUGCCCAAUGAAAUCAACAGGAUUAGUCAUAGAUUAGGAUACUACAUACUGUUCAAUAUAAGGGUGGAGAGUCUGGCCCUUAUUCAGUAGGUAAUGUCUUAGCCUUGAAACUUUUCAAACAUACUGGCAUUUAAAUUGGCUGGCUUGGGCUGCUUAAGUGAAAAUAAAUAGCUACAAAGCUAUCUGUGGACCAAAUACUUUAUAUACAAUUUCAAUGGACUCUAGUACACAUUUAUAUUUUGGAGAAAAACAAAACAAAACACACCUCUAUUGCUGCUGUUGCAGUCCAGAACACAAGAAGACACAGCACAAUCCACUAACUUUAAUAAGCCAAGUUUGUUCUGAUCAGGCCAGAUCCUCAGCUGAUGUAAAUUAUCAUAGCUCUGCAACUGAGAAUCAGGCCUGAGUUUGAAAGAAAAAUAUUUGUUUGAUGUUGUAUUAAAGCACCUACUACUUACCAUUGAGACUUAUUUUGUACUAUGAUUUCAUUUUGUUUGCACAACACCCUGAACAUGAUAGCAAGAGGGGAAACUUUAAAAAAAUUAAUUAGAUUGCAAUAAUUAGAUUUGUAGUGCCGAUUCUGCCCCCUCCAUUUGUUUUUAUGGGAGCUGUGUGCAUAGCCAUGAGCAGAACAGGUUUUUGUGUUUUUAAGCUUCUUGUGGAAAGGCCUUUGCUUACCCCAGCCCUGAGUGAAGUCAGCAUGUAGCAAUUACUGCGGUUUAUCAACUGUGUGGUAGCAAAUUUCACAGCUGCAAUGGCUCAUGUGCACCUAAGGUGACCUCCUGCUGCACUUUUACAUGCUGAACAUGGAAGCCGGGAGUUAUUUUAAGUAUUAUUUUUGAGGUUUGAGUUAUUUUGUUUGCUGGAAGAUGUGGUUAUUUAGUGGAAAAUUCUAUAAACUAAGCUAGUCAUUGCUGUUGCAGAAAAGGUAGCUUGUGAUUGGCGUGUGUGAUAACAUGAGGACAGUUAAACCACAGCCAGUCCUGCUCCCCACCACAUAUGUAUUUAUGAGCCACAGCUAAUGGAAAUACAAUGUAUUACAAAGACAUGCAUGAGUUGCAUGUAGAGAGUACUGUAACACUUCAUAGUCUAGCACUAUGGUAUUUGUAGAAGUAGUGCAGUUUAAUCUACAGUGUGUUGGAGGCACAUUAAUACAUACAGGCUACCAUUGCAAGACUAGGAGGACUGCAAGAAAGCUACAUGCACUGAUGUUCCUCCUUCCUAUCAUGGAGUCAUUACAUGAAGUUAGAUUUUGUCUAGUGAGUUUAAUACCAUUCAAGAGUUAACUAUCUUCUCAACUGUGAAGGCAAGCAUCCUAUCAUACUGUAUCCACGCCCACGGUUGAAUACGUAUUUUCUACCAGUUAUGAUUUCAUAGGUCACAGGGCCAGAAUUACAAUCCACAUUCAAUUAGGGCAAGUUACUAAGAAUUAUGAAUAAUGUACAAAUUCCACCCACCACACAUUGAUUAUAGAACAGCAAUUGUUGACAAAAACGCUAGAAAAAUGACAAGGGAGUCACAGUCUGAAGGAAGUGUGUGGUACUUCUAGAGAUAAACACCAUAUAGUCACUUCCUCCAGUAGAGCACAAGGAAGAUUCUUACACAGAAAGCCUGAAUAAUGUAAAACACCCUGAUACAUGUUAUGGCAACUACCUGUGGAUUAUUUUCCCCCUCAAGUAAGUGCUUCAUGCAACUCUGGAUGAAUAUGAUCUGCUAAUGGCUGUUAUAGAGCUGUGAAAAAAGCUGCUAUUUCACUUUGUUUUUCUACUUGGUAAUGUGUGGCUAGGUUUUGAAACUACUGCUAUCAUAUCACAGGUCACCUGCUACUCAUUAAACCCUGAAUAAAGCAUGGACACCCACAUAAUAAGGUAUAGGAGGAUGUCUGUUAUGCACCUGGGUGUUAAAAUUAACAAACAAAUGGCACAAGAUUUUGAAGUAACUAGUAAUUUGGGGGUAGCCAAUUUUUGACACCUUAAGUGUAGGUGCUGAGCACUUUCUGAAAAUCAGGGCCCCUUUGAGGUGUCCCAAGUUGAGCACCCAAAACUGAGACUCCCAAAAAUCACACCCAUAGGUUUAAAGUUUCUGUUUUCUCUGGCUAAUGCUAUUUAAAAAGGAGACUAUCAAUAAAAACUGAAUAGAUUUUCUGUCUGUGAAUAGUUUUCAUAUGGUAGGCCUUAAUUUCAUUUUAAAGUAGAUUACAGUUUCAACCCUCCCACAAUCCACAUAAUUAUUGCAGAAGCUCAUUUCCUGAAACUCUUCACCAAAACAGAGUUGUUUACUAUCUGCACUGAAAACUUUGUCCAAAACAUUUAUUAGAAUAAAUUCUACAUCUACCUCCUGCUUGAACAAACAGGAUUCUACUGUCGCACGGGCUAUAUUUAUAAAUUACACUCCACCACACUAGUCUGUCACAAUAGGCAGAAAUAAAUUAACUUUACGUGUAUGUCCCACAA